rnacentral:rRNA from 1 species
AGAGUUUGAUCCUGGCUCAGAGCGAACGCUGGCGGCAGGCCUAACACAUGCAAGUCGAGCGCCGUAGCAAUACGGAGCGGCAGACGGGUGAGUAACGCGUGGGAACGUGCCCUUCGGUUCGGAAUAACUCAGGGAAACUUGAGCUAAUACCGGAUACGUCCGAAAGGAGAAAGAUUUAUCGCCGAAGGAUCGGCCCGCGUAAGAUUAGCUAGUUGGUGAGGUAACGGCUCACCAAGGCUCUGAUCUUUAGCUGGUCUGAGAGGACGAUCAGCCACACUGGGACUGAGACACGGCCCAGACUCCUACGGGAGGCAGCAGUGGGGAAUAUUGGACAAUGGGCGCAAGCCUGAUCCAGCCAUGCCGCGUGAGUGAUGAAGGCCUUAGGGUUGUAAA